CCACCCCCAACACACACACACACACACACACACACACACACACACACACACACACACACACACACACACACACACACACACACACACUUUCUCUCGCUCUGUCACAAGAUGCGAUGCUGGUUUGUAUAUCAUUGAUGGAUUGACUGCUCAGAGUAAAUCAGUAAAAAUUAGGGCUGUGAGAAGUCUUUCGCAUGGUACAGGGGUUGCAUGGCCAAAUAUUUGCAAGCUGAGGAUGACAGUUUAAUAUGGGCCUCUGCAUUAACUGACCACCACUCUAAAGGACACAUCCAUCUCAAUAGCAGUUCAAGUCCUUAAAACAUGGGUCAAGAGCUGAUGAAAGUUUCAGCCAUUCAUUGUUCAUGACAGCUUGGCGUUCAGCAAGGUCUUUCUUGAAGGCAAGGUCAAAUACAUUUCAGUACAUUUAUUCUAGGCUAAGAUAAGCAUAUUUAACAUGAAUAUAAAAGGUGAUUUUAAAAUCCUUAACAUUUUCUAGAGUUCAUUUUAUGGAUUUUUUUAAAGGCUUUUUCUUGUAACAAGCAUGUUUACCUUGCUUAGUGAGAGCUCUAGGACAUUUUAGCUGUGUAACAAAUAUAGCUGGAACCACAAUCAGGAUGGAUGUGUGGCAGACUUACUUGCAUGGUUCAAGGAGCAUCUGCAGCUUGUGCAGUUUGUCCCACUCAGCAGCAGUCAGCAUGACUAACUUGUGUUUCUGUUUAGCUAAAGUAGCCCAACUUAACUUGUUUGUUGCUGAUGUAGCUCCUCUGUUUUAACAGGGCUGUGCUUAAAAUGUCCUACAAUUUAGCGACACUUUGUCAAUGCAUCAACAAACCCACUGUCCGAAAGGCAAACAGUAAUGGUCCUCUGAAAUAUGUGCGCGGCCCAGGGGAUGUGAUCAAACGGAAGUGUUCUUGCUGCUGCAACCAUAUUUUGAGCGCUGUCCGUUCUGAUAGUGGUCACUUUUUCUGUAAUGUUCCACUUGUCUGUCUUGUCAGUCCAUUGCAAUCCAUUUAGAUAUUGCAUUUGUUAGUUUUUCUGAGGACGACUUACUUAAUAUGCGGCGAUUUUCAGUCAGCGUGGUUUGGCGGAGCUUGCCUGCAGCAUCUGGGGUUGUGCUAACUGCAGAGCCCGCAAUAUGUUUUGAGUUCAGGUGGUAUUUCAUGCUAAAACUACUUUGAUGAAUUUAUUCAACCUGCUAACCACCACUGUGUCCGCCGACUAGAGAAACAAAGAGCAAAGCAUGACAACCUGUGCUUUGCUCUGUGUGACCAUAUACUGAUUCAAAUCUAUGUAUUGCCUGUUGUUUUAUUAACUGUCUUUGGCUUUGGAUAUGAUUUUGGUUAUAAUAAAA